rnacentral:rRNA from 1 species
CACCUACGGGAGGCAGCAGUGAGGAAUAUUGGUCAAUGGGCGGAAGCCUGAACCAGCCAAGUCGCGUGAGGGAUUAAGGCCCUGCGGGUCGUAAACCUCUUUUGCCGGGGAGCAGAGGUCCGGACGUGUCCGGGCCGGGAGAGUACCCGGAGAAAAAGCAUCGGCUAACUCCGUGCCAGCAGCCGCGGUAAUACGGAGGAUGCGAGCGUUAUCCGGAUUUAUUGGGUUUAAAGGGUGCGCAGGCGGAAUGUCAAGUCAGCGGUAAAAUUUCGGGGCUCAACCCCGUCGUGCCGUUGAAA